UUCUUGUUUUUCAGACACGAAAAAAACAAAAUUAUAAUAAUCGAAUGUAGGUAAAAAUAUAGGCGAUCUACUCACGUGUUAAAACCGCUAUAACUCCGCGCGUAUCGCUAGUACCUAUAUUGUAUAGGCAAAUUUAAAACGGUUAUACCAUACCGAAACAAUCGUCGUUUAAAAGUCAAACGGUCUGUAAAAACGAAAAUUGUGUUUUUUCGGUUUUACUUGCACGCGCAACCGGAGCAUGGAAUACUGUGCACGUUCAUUACAAUAUAAUAAUAAUAAUAAUACGGAUGGUUACAGUUUAUCGCGAAGUGUUAGAGUAAGUCUACCUACUAUAAUAUUAUUAUACAGGACGGUGAUCAUUUCUAUAAAUAUGUCCACUGACG